AGACGGGGCCCGCACAAGCGGUGAGCAUGUGGUUAAUUCGAUGCAACGCGAAGAACCUUACCUGGGCUUGACAUCCCGAGAAUCCCCUGGAAACAGGGGAGUGCCUUUCGGGGAACUCGGAGACAGGUGCUGCAUGGCUGUCGUCAGCUCGUGUCGUGAGAUGUUGGGUUAAGUCCCGCAACGAGCGCAACCCUUGUCUUUAAUUGCCAGCAUUCAGUUGGGCACUUUAAAGAGACUGCCGGUGUUAAGCCGGAGGAAGGUGGGGAUGACGUCAAGUCCUCAUGGCCUUUAUGCCCAGGGCUACACACGUGCUACAAUGGGUGGUACAAAGAGAUGCCAACUCGCGAGAGCGCGCCAAUCUCAGAAAGCCAUCCUCAGUUCGGAUUGGAGUCUGCAACUCGACUCCAUGAAGUUGGAAUCGCUAGUAAUUGCGGAUCAGCACGCCGCGGUCGAAUACGUUCCCGGGCCUUGU
rnacentral:rRNA from 1 species